AUACGGAGGGUCCGAGCGUUAUCCGGAAUCAUUGGGUUUAAAGGGUCCGUAGGCGGGAAUCUAAGUCAGUGGUGAAAUCUUGCAGCUCAACUGUAAAAUUGCCAUUGAUACUGGAUUUCUUGAAUUAGUGUGAAGUGGUUAGAAUGUGUAGUGUAGCGGUGAAAUGCAUAGAUAUUACACAGAAUACCAUUUGCGAAGGCAGAUCACUAACACUAUAUUGACGCUAAGGGACGAAAGCGUGGGGAGCGAACAGGAGUAGAAACCCCAGUAGUCC
rnacentral:rRNA from 1 species